UGAUUCUAGAAAUGGCAAUCCGAGAGCAUGGUCAGUGAGAAGGGCUGUCCGGGCUGGUCAGGCGUGAGGUCUGCGCUGGGAGGGGCCUCCCAGGUUCCCAGGAAGCGAGCUCUCCCUUCCUGACUCACAGCUACCUUCUCUGACAUUCUAGGGAAUUCAGCACUUUCUCUGGGUCCACUCCCAUGGCAGGAAGGAAACGGAUGCAGUCUUAGGUAGCAGGGCAUGGCAUACUUUGAGGCUGUUCACCAGCAAGAUGACGAACUCGCCAUUCUUCAUGCCGAUGGCCACCAUCUCCCCAUCGGGGCUGUAGGCUGCACACCUGGCCGCGUGGCCCAGGUUCACCUUGUUAAGCAGCUUCUGCGUGGACACAGAGGAACUUGCCCUGAGCCCCCGCCGCCUGGGCUGGUCUCCCCAGGGAAGCCCGCCCCCAGGCCGGCGCGCUUGGGCUGCCCCUGCCGCUGCGGGGCCUCUGGACCUCCUGCGCCUUCGAGAAGCCGAGGCGGCCAGCAUGCCCGAAGCAGAACAGCCCGGGAGACAACACGCGUCAGGGCAGCGCUGGGUGAAUUCUUCCCUAAGGGGCCUGGGUGGCGGUGCCGUGGGCUCCGCAGGGCGCCGCAGCUCUGCCCAAGGGUGCCGGUGAGCCGUGAGCCUGGUCGCCUUCGGAGCAACCGGCCCCGCGGGCUCCGACUGGCCCCCGUCCUGCUCAGGGAGGAGAGUUGGAGCUUCGGCGCCUGGCGGUUCGAAUCCCGAAUCCUGGCUGUCACUAGCCAGCGCGGCUGCGGCAGUAACUCCCGCGUGUCCCCUCGGAAAGAAGGCGCCGACACUGCUCAGCCGAGUAAUUAUGACCCUUAACGUGACCAGAACGGCCAUGGUUCGGCUCUGGCAUACCCGUUCUUUCAUCCUUAUGCCAAAAAUAGGAAAUGUUGACUGGCUAUUUUGUGAUGAGCCCAGCUGUUGUAGUUUUUAGAACAAAGAAGACAAAUACUGUGUGAUCCCACUCCUAUGACGUACUCGUCCAAGUCACAGAGAAAAGUCAAUGGCGGUUGCCAAGCGCUGGGCGGAAGGGGAAAGGAGCGUGAGCAGUUCAUAGCCAUGGAUGAGAGCAUCAGCAGAGCUCUCCAUCACUGGGUCUCUGCCAGGACAUUCCACAGACGGCAAGCUCACUAUAGAGCCUGGCAGCCAGUUUCUGCCAUUGAACAGCUCAGGUUCUUCCUCGUCUCUCCCUCACACUGAACAAAAACCAUCUCUACAUGACCUCCAGAUUCUGGGCCUCGCUCUGCCUUCAGCCUCCCAGAUGUCUCAUUACCCUAGUGGAUGACUGCCAUUGAUCUAUUUAAAAGCAAAGCUCUCAAUUCCUAAUUGUGGAGACUCCAAGUCAUGUCUGCCCUUUUUUAUGGGGAACUUCUAGAAACUAAGUUCUUAGACUGAUAAUAAUUCAAAUUCAAAAAUAUAAACACAGGGUAUAAAACAGAGGUUAAGAUAUAUUUUCAAGGACCUCAGAAUUUCUUGGGGAAUUAAAAAAAAAAAAAGAAAAGAAAAGGAGAAAAGGAACCCACACAUCAAGACUAAGAUUCUGACUUGUCAGCUCUGGGCAAGAGCCUGGACAUACCUAUUUAAACACAACACAAGACCAACAACAAAAAAACCACCCCUGUAGUUGUUUCUGAUACUCAGCCCAGGUAUGACUUGAAAAGCCAUGACUUGGAGUCACAGUUUGAUGGCCCCUUCCUGCCCCCUUCCUGCCCAUGUAACUGUGGGCAUACACAAAUUAUUGACUAUCUCUGAGCCUAUAGUAAUAAUAUUAUCUGUAAUAGCAGGAACUACCAUCCAGUGAAUGUGGCUAUGAGGCAGGCAUAAGGAAAGGCACCCUGCAUUAUAAUGCAUGUGAUCCUCACAACAACACAUGUACCAGAACAGAGGGGCUAAGUAACGGACCCAAGGUCACACAGCCAACACUACUCAGAAGUGUUGGAUUCUGCUAAGACAACUCCCCCCAGCAGGGCAAGUCCCACCUCAGAGGCUCAUUUUAAGGAUUCAACAAUGUAGCACGGGGAACGUGUCAGGCUCAACUAUCACUUGGCCCCCAGGAAGACAGCUCGGGGCAGACCGGCCCAGCCCACUCACUUUGCC